AUUGAACGCUGGCGGCAUGCCUUACACAUGCAAGUCGAACGGCAGCACGGGUGCUUGCACCUGGUGGCGAGUGGCGAACGGGUGAGUAAUACAUCGGAACGUACCUUAUCGUGGGGGAUAACGCAGCGAAAGCUGUGCUAAUACCGCAUACGCCCUGAGGGGGAAAGCGGGGGAUCGCAAGACCUCGCGCGAUUAGAGCGGCCGAUGCCUGAUUAGCUUGUUGGUGGGGUAAAAGCCCACCAAGGCGACGAGCAGUAGCUGGUCUGAGAGGACGGACAGCCCAACUGGGACUGAGACACGGCCCAGCCUCCUACGGGAGGCAGCAGUGGGGAAUUUUGGACAAUGGGGGCAACCCUGAUCCAGCAAUGCCGCGUGAGUGAAGAAGGCCUUCGGGUUGUAAAGCUCUUUUGUCAGGGAAGAAACACCGGCUCUAACACAGUCCGGGAAUGACGGUACCUGAAGAAUAAGCACCGGCUAACUACGUGCCAGCCGCCGCUGUAA
rnacentral:rRNA from 1 species